rnacentral:rRNA from 1 species
ACGGGGCCCGCACAAGCGGUGGAGCAUGUGGUUUAAUUCGAUGAUACGCGAGGAACCUUACCUGGGCUCAAAUGUAUGUUGACGUAUUCUGAAAGGGAUACUUCUUCGGACAAUAUACAAGGUGCUGCAUGGUUGUCGUCAGCUCGUGCCGUGAGGUGUCGGGUUAAGUCCCAUAACGAGCGCAACCCCUAUCUAUUAGUUGCCAUCAGGUAAUGCUGGGGACUCUAAAGGAACUGCCUACGCAAGUAGUGAGGAAGGCGGGGAUGACGUCAAAUCAGCACGGCCCUUACGUCCAGGGCUACACACGUGCUACAAUGGCCGAUACAGAGGGCAGCUACCUGGUGACAGGAUGCAAAUCUCCAAAGUCGGUCUCAGUUCGGAUCGGAGUCUGCAACCCGACUCCGUGAAGUUGGAUUCGCUAGUAAUCGCGCAUCAGCCAUGGCGCGGUGAAUACGUUCCCGGGCCUU